UCGAAUCCAGAAGAAGAGGCUAAGUAUAUUGUGAAAUACCCCCGCCAUAUCCUUGACCGUGUCGCUCGUGUGUCCACGGCGUAUCGAAGGUGGUAAACAUAACAGAAAAGUCCACGAUACGUCGUUUGCCGUAUCGGAGGAGUAUCCGAUACGAGCAUACCCCUCAUGACCGGCGUAUCGGUGCAACAUAGAGAAGCCUUCGCGCUCAAGUUUCUGAAUACAACAGUCAUAUUUUCUUUACCCAUUUUAUCGGGUUCUUCAUUUCAUAUUGUGAUUCUGAGAAUCCAGUAAUCCCUUAGCAUGCUUUGCGUCUUGCUUUGUCUGAAACCCGUAAGUAAACACUUGACCAACAUAACCACCAGCGCUUUGUUCUCUACCAAACCAACGACAACAUCAAUACUUCUGAGACAAUGCAAUUCUCUUCUCCAAGCUAAGCUCAUCCACCAACAUAUCCUGGUCCAAGGCCUCACGCACACCGUAACCGACCUCAUUGCCGCCUAUGUAGCUUGCAAUGCUCCUUCACAAGCCUUGGCGUUGCUCCAGCGCCUUGUGCCGUGCCCAUCAAUUGUUUUCUGGUGGAAUGUGCUUAUACGGAGUGCCGUGCGCUCUGGGUUGCUUUAUGACGUGCUUUGUCUCCACGGGCGAAUGCAAAUGCUUGGGUGGAGGCCUGACCAUUAUACUUACCCCUUUGUUCUCAAGGCUUGCGGCGAGCUUCACAUGUUCAGUCGAGGCUCUUCGGUCCAUGCUGCUUUGUAUGCAAAUGGUUUUAAUUCAAAUGUGUUUGUUUGCAAUGCGGUUGUUGCUAUGUAUGGCCGCUGUGGCGCUUUGAAUGAUGCGCGUAAAAUGUUCGAUGAAUUGCUUGAGAGAGGAAUAGGGGAUGUUGUGUCCUGGAAUUCAAUUGUGUCAGCUUAUGUUCAGAGUGGAGAUUCGAAGAAUGCACUCUCAACGUUUGAUCGGAUGAUGGGCGAUUUUAGUGUACGCCCAGAUGCUUUUAGCUUAGUUAAUGUUCUUCCUGCUUGUGCCUCGGCUGGGGCACCAAUGUGGGGUAAGCAGAUUCACAGUUAUGCUAUUAGGAGGGGAUUAUUUGAAGAUGUGUUUGUGGGUAAUGCCGUUGUUGAUAUGUAUGCUAAGUGUGAGAUGAUGGAUGAGGCAAACAAGGUAUUUGAGAGGAUGGAAGAAAAGGAUGUGGUUUCUUGGAAUGCCAUGGUUACUGGGUAUUCUCAGAUUGGUAGACUUGACGAUGCUAUUGGUUUUUUUGAGAAGAUGAGGGAGGAGAAGAUUGAGUUGAAUGUUGUCACUUGGAGUGCUGUGAUUGCAGGAUAUGCUCAGAGGGGACAUGGUUAUGGGGCGCUGGAUGUGUUUCGGCAAAUGCAGGCGUGUGGCUCUGAGCCAAAUGCUGUUACCCUCGUAUCUCUUCUUUCAGGGUGUGCCUCUGCUGGAGCACUGAUUCAUGGAAAGGAAACUCAUUGUUAUGCAAUAAAAUGGAUCCUGAACCUAGACAGAAAUGACCCUGGAAAUGAUAUAAUGGUAAUUAACGGUCUGAUUGACAUGUAUACUAAAUGCAAGAGUCCCAAAGUUGCACGAAUGAUGUUUGAUUCUGUUGCACCAAAGAAAAGGAAUGUGGUGACUUGGACUGUGAUGAUUGGUGGAUAUGCCCAACAUGGGGAAGCUAAUGAGGCACUAGAACUCUUCUACCAGAUGCUCAGACAGGAUUUCCCCCUAAAGCCAAACGCUUUUACUAUAUCUUGUGCCCUGAUGGCUUGUGCUCGUCUGGGUGCCCUGAGGUUUGGUAAGCAAAUUCAUGCUUUUGUACUACGCAAUCAGUAUGAUUUUGUGAAGCUGUUUGUGUCCAAUUGCCUGGUUGAUAUGUAUUCCAAAUCUGGAGACAUUGAUGCUGCUAGAGUUGUGUUCGACUACAUGCAACAAAGGAAUGCUGUUUCUUGGACUUCACUAAUGACAGGUUAUGGAAUGCAUGGUCGCGGUGAAGAAGCCCUGCAAAUUUUUGAUGAGAUGAGGAGAGUGGGGCUGGUGCCUGAUGGUGUAACCUUUGUUGUUGUUCUCUAUGCUUGCAGCCAUUCUGGAAUGGUUGAUGAAGGAAUGAGGUACUUUAACAGCAUGAGCACAGAUUUUGGGGUUGUUCCUGGGGCAGAACACUAUGCUUGCAUGGUUGACAUCUUGGGUCGUGCUGGUCGCUUGGAUGCCGCAUUAGCGUUGAUCAAAGGCAUGCCUAUGCAACCAACACCAAUUACAUGGGUGGCCUUGCUCAGUGCGUGCAGGACCCAUGGGAAUGUUGAACUUGGUGAAUAUGUUGCACAUCAGUUAUCAGAGACGGAGUCAGAGAAUGAUAGUUCAUAUACAUUGAUUUCAAACAUAUAUGCCAAUGCCAGGCGUUGGAAAGAUGUGGCCAGAAUCAGAUUGUUAAUGAAACAUACGGGCAUCAAGAAGAAGCCUGGUUGCAGUUGGGUGCAAGGAAAGAAAGGCAAUGCAACCUUCUUUGUGGGUGAUAGGACUCAUCCACAGUCUCAAGAAAUUUAUGAGACCCUUGCUGACUUGAUUAAACGGAUCAAAGAGAUUGGAUAUGUCCCUGAGACAAGCUAUGCACUUCACGAUGUCGAUGAUGAAGAGAAAGGAGACCUUCUUUUCGAGCAUAGUGAGAAGUUGGCUUUGGCCUAUGCAAUCCUAACUACUCCACCAGGCGCACCUAUCCGGAUCACCAAGAACUUACGUGUCUGUGGAGAUUGCCAUAGUGCGAUUACCUACAUAUCCAAGAUUGUUGAGCACGAAAUCAUAUUGAGGGACUCAAGUCGCUUUCAUCAUUUCGAGAAUGGAUCCUGCUCCUGCCGAGGCUAUUGGUGACAAAAGAAGUUAUCCUAGUUUGGAUAUCAUAAGAUUUGCAGUGGUGGGAUAUCAUCAUUCACAUGGUUUUACAAUGUUUGCUAUGGGCAGUUACUGGAAGAUUUGGGAUCCUCAUAGGUGUUCUGCAUGCCCGUAAAGUAAAGUAAAGAAUACACUGCCAUCUCUUGGUGUUGGCUGCUUGAAGUUGCAUAAAGAUGAUCGUUGUGUCUAUGGAACUGAUAAAGAUGAUCCAUUGAGACUACCAGAGGAUCCUUUCUACAAGCAGAUGGCUGCAGAAUUUACCAAGUUCCAGAUAGGGGUAGAUGUAUAUGCCUUCAGUGACAAGUACACUGAUAUAGCCUCAUUAGUAAUGGUAUACCGGGGACAGGUGUAUUAUUACCCUAAUUUUCAAUCAACAAUUCAUGGAGAGAAGUUGAGACAUGAGUUAGUGAGAGACCU